GGGUUGUGAGGUUAAGCGACUAAGCGUACACGGUGGAUGCCCUGGCAGUCAGAGGCGAUGAAGGGCGUGCUAAUCUGCGAUAAGCGCCGGUAAGGUGAUAUGAACCGUUAUAACCGGCGAUACCCGAAUGGGGAAACCCAGUGUGAUUCGUCACACUAUCAUUAACUGAAUCCAUAGGUUAAUGAGGCGAACCGGGGGAACUGAAACAUCUAAGUACCCCGAGGAAAAGAAAUCAACCGAGAUUCCCCCAGUAGCGGCGAGCGAACGGGGAGGAGCCCAGAGCCUGAAUCAGCAUGUGUGUUAGUGGAAGCGUCUGGAAAGGCGCGCGAUACAGGGUGACAGCCCCGUACACAAAAGCGCAUGUGCUGUGAGCUCGAUGAGUAGGGCGGGACACGUGGUAUCCUGUCUGAAUAUGGGGGGACCAUCCUCCAAGGCUAAAUACUCCUGACUGACCGAUAGUGAACCAGUACCGUGAGGGAAAGGCGAAAAGAACCCCGGCGAGGGGAGUGAAAAAGAACCUGAAACCGUGUACGUACAAGCAGUGGGAGCACCCUUUUGGGUGUGACUGCGUACCUUUUGUAUAAUGGGUCAGCGACUUAUAUUCUGUAGCAAGGUUAACCGUAUAGGGGAGCCGUAGGGAAACCGAGUCUUAACCGGGCGUUAAGUUGCAGGGUAUAGACCCGAAACCCGGUGAUCUAGCCAUGGGCAGGUUGAAGGUUGGGUAACACUAACUGGAGGACCGAACCGACUAAUGUUGAAAAAUUAGCGGAUGACCUGUGGCUGGGGGUGAAAGGCCAAUCAAACCGGGAGAUAGCUGGUUCUCCCCGAAAGCUAUUUAGGUAGCGCCUCGUGAAUUCAUCUCCGGGGGUAGAGCACUGUUUCGGCUAGGGGGCCAUCCCGGCUUACCAACCCGAUGCAAACUGCGAAUACCGGAGAAUGUUAUCACGGGAGACACACGGCGGGUGCUAACGUCCGUCGUGAAGAGGGAAACAACCCAGACCGCCAGCUAAGGUCCCAAAGUCAUGGUUAAGUGGGAAACGAUGUGGGAAGGCCCAGACAGCCAGGAUGUUGGCUUAGAAGCAGCCAUCAUUUAAAGAAAGCGUAAUAGCUCACUGGUCGAGUCGGCCUGCGCGGAAGAUGUAACGGGGCUAAACCAUGCACCGAAGCUGCGGCAGCGACGUUUAUGUGUUGUUGGGUAGGGGAGCGUUCUGUAAGCCUGCGAAGGUGGCCUGUGAGGGUUGCUGGAGGUAUCAGAAGUGCGAAUGCUGACAUAAGUAACGAUAAAGCGGGUGAAAAGCCCGCUCGCCGGAAGACCAAGGGUUCCUGUCCAACGUUAAUCGGGGCAGGGUGAGUCGACCCCUAAGGCGAGGCCGAAAGGCGUAGUCGAUGGGAAACGGGUUAAUAUUCCCGUACUUGGUGUUACUGCGAAGGGGGGACGGAGAAGGCUAUGUUGGCCGGGCGACGGUUGUCCCGGUUUAAGCGUGUAGGCUGGUUUUCCAGGCAAAUCCGGAAAAUCAAGGCUGAGGCGUGACGACGAGGCACUACGGUGCUGAAGCAACAAAUGCCCUGCUUCCAGGAAAAGCCUCUAAGCAUCAGGUAACAUCAAAUCGUACCCCAAACCGACACAGGUGGUCAGGUAGAGAAUACCAAGGCGCUUGAGAGAACUCGGGUGAAGGAACUAGGCAAAAUGGUGCCGUAACUUCGGGAGAAGGCACGCUGACACGUAGGUGAAGUGAUUUACUCAUGGAGCUGAAGUCAGUCGAAGAUACCAGCUGGCUGCAACUGUUUAUUAAAAACACAGCACUGUGCAAACACGAAAGUGGACGUAUACGGUGUGACGCCUGCCCGGUGCCGGAAGGUUAAUUGAUGGGGUCAGCGCAAGCGAAGCUCCUGAUCGAAGCCCCGGUAAACGGCGGCCGUAACUAUAACGGUCCUAAGGUAGCGAAAUUCCUUGUCGGGUAAGUUCCGACCUGCACGAAUGGCGUAAUGAUGGCCAGGCUGUCUCCACCCGAGACUCAGUGAAAUUGAACUCGCUGUGAAGAUGCAGUGUACCCGCGGCAAGACGGAAAGACCCCGUGAACCUUUACUAUAGCUUGACACUGAACAUUGAGCCUUGAUGUGUAGGAUAGGUGGGAGGCUUUGAAGUGUGGACGCCAGUCUGCAUGGAGCCGACCUUGAAAUACCACCCUUUAAUGUUUGAUGUUCUAACGUGGACCCGUAAUCCGGGUUGCGGACAGUGUCUGGUGGGUAGUUUGACUGGGGCGGUCUCCUCCUAAAGAGUAACGGAGGAGCACGAAGGUUGGCUAAUCCUGGUCGGACAUCAGGAGGUUAGUGCAAUGGCAUAAGCCAGCUUGACUGCGAGCGUGACGGCGCGAGCAGGUGCGAAAGCAGGUCAUAGUGAUCCGGUGGUUCUGAAUGGAAGGGCCAUCGCUCAACGGAUAAAAGGUACUCCGGGGAUAACAGGCUGAUACCGCCCAAGAGUUCAUAUCGACGGCGGUGUUUGGCACCUCGAUGUCGGCUCAUCACAUCCUGGGGCUGAAGUAGGUCCCAAGGGUAUGGCUGUUCGCCAUUUAAAGUGGUACGCGAGCUGGGUUUAGAACGUCGUGAGACAGUUCGGUCCCUAUCUGCCGUGGGCGCUGGAGAACUGAGGGGGGCUGCUCCUAGUACGAGAGGACCGGAGUGGACGCAUCACUGGUGUUCGGGUUGUCAUGCCAAUGGCACUGCCCGGUAGCUAAAUGCGGAAGAGAUAAGUGCUGAAAGCAUCUAAGCACGAAACUUGCCCCGAGAUGAGUUCUCCCUGAGACUU
rnacentral:rRNA from 1 species